AGUGAACGCUGGCGGUAGGCCUAACACAUGCAAGUCGAACGGCAGCACAGUAAGAGCUUGCUCUUACGGGUGGCGAGUGGCGGACGGGUGAGGAAUACAUCGGAAUCUACUUUUUCGUGGGGGAUAACGUAGGGAAACUUACGCUAAUACCGCAUACGACCUACGGGUGAAAGCAGGGGAUCUUCGGACCUUGCGCGACUGAAUGAGCCGAUGUCGCAUUAGCUAGUUGGCGGGGUAAAGGCCCACCAAGGCGACGAUCCGUAGCUGGUCUGAGAGGAUGAUCAGCCACACUGGAACUGAGACACGGUCCAGACUCCUACGGGAGGCAGCAGUGGGGAAUAUUGGACAAUGGGCGCAAGCCUGAUCCAGCCAUACCGCGUGAGUGAAGAAGGCCUUCGGGUUGUAAAGCCCUUUUGUUGGGAAAGAAAAGCAGCAGGUUAAUACCCCGCUGUUCUGACGGUACCCAAAGAAUAAGCACCGGCUAACUUCGUG
rnacentral:rRNA from 1 species